rnacentral:lncRNA from 1 species
AUUUGCAGUAUAUAUACUCUUUAUUUCAUGCAUGCUUAACUCAAUACAAACCAAAUCCACUAACCACUUCCCCCCCCACAUCCGCCGCCCUGAUCAAGAGACUUGAGGGGCUGAGUCUCAAAUUGACGAGAGGGAGCUGAGUUUUCCGGCGAAAAAUGACCAGUUCUGGUGGCGGCCCCACUAGGGGCCGUCUAUGGCCUCAAUUGGCCUUCGCAUUGGCUGUGGUUCUUGUUUCAAGCUGUGUAAGUUCAGUUUAUGGUGAUGCUUAUCCAUACUCUUCUCCUCCUCCUCCACCUUAUGAGUACAAGUCACCACCACCCCCAUCUCCUUCUCCACCACCUCCUUAUGAGUACAAAUCUCCACCACCACCAUCUCCUAAACCUCACUAUGAAUACAAGUCUCCUCCACCACCAUCUCCUUCUCCACCACCUCCUUAUGAGUAUAAAUCCCCACCACCACCAUCUCCUUCUCCACCACNNNNNNNNNNNNNN